rnacentral:rRNA from 1 species
CUACGGGAUGCUGCAGUGAGGAAUAUUGCACAAUGGGGGAAACCCUGAUGCAGCAACGCCGCGUGGAGGAUGACGCAUUUCGGUGUGUGAACUCCUUUUAUGAGUCAAGAAAAUGACGGUAGCAUAUGAAUAAGCACCGGCUAACUCCGUGCCAGCAGCCGCGGUAAUACGGAGGGUGCAAGCGUUACUCGGAAUCACUGGGCGUAAAGGACGCGUAGGCGGGUUGGAAAGUCAGGUGUGAAAUCCUACAGCUUAACUGUAGAACUGCACUUGAAACUUCUAAUCUAGAGUAUGGGAGGGGGAGAUGGAAUUAGUGGUGUAGGGGUAAAAUCCGUAGAUAUCACUAGGAAUACCUAAAGCGAAGGCGAUCUCCUGGAACAUUACUGACGCUAAGGCGUGAAAGCGUGGGGAGCAAACAGGAUUAGAUACCCGCGUAGUC